UAGCCUGGAUAUAUGAGAUCCCACGUCUCCACUUCUGCAGGAGGAAUCGUGUUUCCUACCAAAGAUCUAAGGCAGAGACUCUACAUGGACUUCAACCAGAAACACAAAAAGAGCUGUCUCUAGAUCCCAGCUGGGACAAUCAAGAACCACUAGCAACCUGUGGAGAUUUCAAUUAUUGAAGCAAUUGACAGGAUUUCCUCCAGUGAGACCAACAUACCCAAAUUCAAGAGGGGUUUUGGAAGGAGAACUCAUUCUCCACUGCAUGGCAAGCCAGCACACUAAAAGCUGCUAGACAGAUGUUGAUCCAAAGGGUAA